rnacentral:rRNA from 1 species
UACAGAGGUGGCAAGCGUUGUUCGGAAUUACUGGGCGUAAAGGGCGCGUAGGCGGUUCGUUAAGUCCUGUGUGAAAUCCCCCGGCUCAACUGGGGAACUGCACAGGAAACUAGCGGGCUUGAGUUCGGGAGAGGGAAGCGGAAUUCCGGGUGUAGCGGUGAAAUGCGUAGAUAUCCGGAGGAACACCGGUGGCGAAGGCGGCUCCUGGACCGACA